UGCCAGACUCCUACGGGAGGCAGCAGUGGGGAAUAUUGCACAAUGGGGGAAGCCCUGAUGCAGCGACGCCGCGUGAGUGAAGAAGUAUUUCGGUAUGUAAAGCUCUAUCAGCAGGGAAGAAAAUGACGGUACCUGAUUAAGAAGCCCCGGCUAACUACGUGCCAGCAGCCGCGGUAAUACGUAGGGGGCAAGCGUUAUCCUGAUUUACUGGGUGUAAAGGGAGCGUAGACGGCAGCACAAGUCUGGAGUGAAAUGCCGGGGCUUAACCCCGGAACUGCUUUGGAAACUGUGCAGCUAGAGUGCAGGAGAGGUAAGUGGAAUUCCUAGUGUAGCGGUGAAAUGCGUAGAUAUUAGGAGGAACACCAGUGGCGAAGGCGGCCUGCUGGACAGUAACUGACGUUGAGGCUCGAAAGCGUGGGGAGCAAACAGGAUUAGAUACCCCCGUAAA
rnacentral:rRNA from 1 species